UGGGGAAUUUUGGACAAUGGGCGAAAGCCUGAUCCAGCCAUGCCGCGUGUGUGAAGAAGGUCUUCGGAUUGUAAAGCACUUUAAGUUGGGAGGAAGGGCAGUAAGCGAAUACCUUGCUGUUUUGACGUUACCGACAGAAUAAGCACCGGCUAACUCUGUGCCAGCAGCCGCGGUAAUACAGAGGGUGCAAGCGUUAAUCGGAAUUACUGGGCGUAAAGCGCGCGUAGGUGGUUCGUUAAGUUGAAUGUGAAAGCCCCGGGCUCAACCUGGGAACUGCAUCCAGAACUGGCGAGCUAGAGUAGGGCAAAGGGUAGUGGAAAUUCCUGUGUAGCGGUGAAAUGCGUAGAUAUAGGAAGGAACACCAGUGGCGAAGGCGACCACCUGGGGUCAUACUGACACUGAGGUGCGAAAGCGUGGGGAGCAAACAGG
rnacentral:rRNA from 1 species